GGUCUUAUGGUCUAGUGGUAUGAUUCUCGCUUAGGGACAAACCUGAGUACAUUUGCGAGAGGCCCCGCGUUCGAAUCGCGGUAAGACCC